ACCGGACCCGCGACCUCUUAAAGGGGCAGAUGCGCAUUAGCCCCCCUGGGGGAAAACGGUGGGAGGGAUGGAUGCGGUUUAGUUCGCAGGGUUGCCAGAUUUGGUGCGUGCCAAACUGGUAGCCACACACACGCCCAUAAAUGAACGCACCAAACUAAAAGUGCUGUGAGGGAUUUGUUUCCAAUCUGGCAACGCUGGACAAGUAAAGCCUCUUACUGAUUGGAUCCCUGCUAUUUCCAGAAACCGCUGUCCAUCCAGAGUUUUACAGAACAUUUCUGAACAUAUUAAACAACAACUUCGGAGAAGUACGACUUCCUGAUCCACAUGCAUUCUUUGCAGAUACGCCCAGCUUCGUGCCUCGAACUGAUGAUGGUGACCUGGACGAUUCUAUGGCUGCAGCUUUUCCUGGCCCUCUUAUGAGCACUACGAUGCAGAAAGAGGACCUGAUUCAGUUCAUUCAGUGAAAAAGCACACGAGUGUCUCCAACAUGCUGAAAUACCUGACAACAAGGAGGCUUACUUAUUUUGGAAGAUGAUGGACUUGUUCUGCCAUCACAAUGGAAAAGUGAUAAUGGCUCAGGUCGCUACAACCCUCUUCAAGAGCUACGGCUUACUGAGGAAGAAGGCAUCAAAAGUCAUUAUCACAUCAGGAUCAGCAUCUGUCUGUACAUGACUGUGCAAACAUUCUGACUAACAUAAAAAUUUCUGCUGCAGCUGAGUGAAUACAAGACCCUGAGGGACUGGUGUCUUCCUCUGGCACAGCGCUUGUGCUCCUCUGCCCCAGAUGAUGGGCACAGAGAAGCCGUUAUUAAGAUGGGAGAUCUGUAUUGAUAAACACCACAGUAACCGCACAUUUCUGAAAAUGCUGUAAUCAUGUCUUUAACUGUUUUCUCAUAUGCAUGUUUGAUCUUUCGUCUUGCAGCCAGCAGGGAACUGACGUACACUGCUACGUCAUGGCAAAAAUGGACCUGGGGACAAGGAGCCAGUUUGACCUAAUCGGAUGCAACAGUCUGCCAUUUGGUCUGACGGUCCUGACAGCAGUCAUUGAGAGAACGGAGGUUUACGAAAGAAGGUUUACUGUCACUGACCUCAGGCCUGGCACAGCCAAACUUCCAGAUGGUCAAGUUGUGUCAUGCCAGCCGUUUAGUCCAGGCUGAAUUUCCUGAUGAAGCCCUUCAAUACUGUGAGGCCAUCACCAGGGCAGUCAUCACCUUCCCCAACAGCUUUAGAAGGAGCUUCAAUGAACGGCUCAUUUCGCUGUCUAUCAAAGCACAAGGAUGUGGAGAAGAACCUGAGUGGAUGUGAGAGGUUAUGCAGCCGCACAGAGUCACAGUCGCUGAUAAAAACGCUAAUGCUGUCCCAGAGCAGCACUCGACAUCUACCAGCUCUGAGAUUCAGGGCUCAGAAAGUGCAGAGAGUGACGGAAGUGACGAGAGUCACAGAAUAUAUUCCAUUAACGACGAGAUGCACACUUUGUUGAUGAAGAUUGUAUCCGAAACGCCUCAGUGUAGUCAUUUUACUGAGCUCCUGGAGUGGUUUGAAAUGCCAGAAUGCAUCGUCUUGGUCCUGGAGAGACCCAGCCCCUGUGUAGACCUCCAUGAAUUUGCUGGAAGUCAGGGAGGCUGUCUGACUGAAGAUCAGGCAUGAGACAUCAUGCUGCAGGUGAUUCGAGCGGUUCGGCACUGCUGUGACCGUAGAGUGCUACACCGUGACGUCAAAGCCCAGAAUCUGGAAGAAACCUUGAGAGGAACCAGGCUCAGAAGGGAACCCAUCCUGAUUUGGGUGACACUAAACAGAAAAUAAUGUAACUGUAGCUGAUUAAUGUCCUUUCUACAACAGCAAUCAAUGACCCAUGAGAAACUAUUAGGUCAGUGUAGUUUCUAAGGUCAUUAUAGACACUAAUUCUUUGCUGUCACGGGCUGACAGAUGAAAUGGCAUCUGUCACAAUCUGUGAUGGUGUGAAAGUCCCCAAGUGGCUCUGUCCAUGGCUGUCUCCUGGUCUACACAGAUCCAUCCACAGCAUCAGUGGGCACCAUCAAGCGGCGAGACUCUGACCAGGGGUAGGGCAGUGGUCACAAUGGAAACUGGCAAACACUGGAAGCUCAGGAGUGGAGUGUAUAGCUCGACAGAGAAGGUAGAGAGAGAAAGAGAAAGAUAUUAAGUUUCUGAUCAUGUGAUGCUUAAAGACAAUGUAGAAUUAUGUGUAAAGUGCAGGCAGGGACUCCGGCAAGACUAGCUAUGACAGCAUAACUAAAAGGGAGAGCCAGAAGGUCACAGACAUGAAGGCUUCCUGGGACAUAAAGCAUCCAACCACUUCACAGUCAGCAAACCUGAGCGACUUGCGAGGAUCCAACACAUCCCAGUACACCAAACACUCUAUACCCAUGAACCUUCCAGAUCUGCUCCUUUACCUAAGAAAACUACACAUUAAAAAAAUAUUAUGACAUUAUAAUGUAUAUAACAUUAAAUGACUAAAAAAAUGUGUCUUCAGCCUAGACUUAAACAUUGAGACUGUGUCUGAAUCCCGAAAAAUAAUAGUAAGGCUGUUCUAUAACUCUGGGGCUUUGAAAGAGAGAGCUCUGCCCCCUGCUGUAGCCUUUGCUACUUGAGGUACUACCAAGUAACCAGCACCCUUUGAUCGGAGUAGGCGUGGCGGAUCAUAAAAGACUAAAAGAUCGCUCAAAUACUGCGGCGCGAGACCAUUUAGUGCUUUAUAGGUUAGUAACAGUAUUUUAUAAUCAAUGCGAAAUUUGACUGGGAGCCAAUGUAGUGUGGCUAAAAUAGGAGUGAUGUGCUCAUAUAAUCGAUAAGGUCAUUCGUUGACAACGAUUUUCAUCAUCGAUUAUUAUCGAUUUAAUCGAUUCGUUGUUUCAGCCCUAUUAUCAUGGAUUCUCAUAAAAAUCCCAUAUUGCAACUGCAACAGCAAGUCAACAAGUGUCAGGCAAAGUGCUGAACAAAACUAAAUUUUCAAUAAAAGUGGUUGAAUAAAAUAAAAACAAAUAGUUUCGAAAUGUCCAUACAGGGAUAUCAUUAAUGCAUUGUGCAAAGGUCUCUCUCUCUCUCACACACACACACACUUCACUCACCCCAUUUCGUUGUCAAUGCAAAAAGACAGGGAUUCUCAUUGCCCCCUUGACAGUGAGGGAACUGCAGAAACCACAGAGACUCCUGGAUCCCUGGUAUAAAAAAGUCUUUGCAUUGCAUGCAUGUUAAUGCAGCACAGAAAUAAUUUUGCGUAUAAAUUGUGCUAUUCCAAGAUAGGUAUUGUUGGUCCUGGAAGGCCACUGUCCUACAGAGUUUAGCUCCAAACUUAAUCAAGCACACCUAAACACACUAUUCAAGGUCUUCAGGAGUACUAUAGACACUUAUGUUUUGUUUUGUUUUGUUUUUUCUUCUUCGUCUUAGGUUUGAAACUAAAAUCUACAGGACAGCGGCUCCCCAGGAUUGACUUUGCCUACCCC